AUUGAACGCUGGCGGCAGGCCUAACACAUGCAAGUCGGGCGAGCGGCAGGCGGGUGAAUCAUGUAUGGGGAUCUGCCUGCUGGAUGGGGAUAACUACUGGACACGGUGGCUAAUACCGAUUAUCAUCAGAUGAACCAUCAUGUGAUUAUCUAGUAGGUGAUGUAACGGCUCACCAAGGCGACUAUCCCUAGCUCGUCUGAGAGGAUUAUCAGCCACACUGGGACUGAGACACGGCCCAGACUCCUACGGGAGGCAGCAGUGGGGAAUAUUGCACAAUGGGCGAAAGCCUGAUGCAGCCAUGCCGCGUGUAUGAAGAAGGCCUUCGGGUUGUAAAGUACUUUCAGUCGGGAGGCGUUACCGACAGAAGAAGCACCGGCUAACUCCGUGCCAGCAGCCGCGGUAAUAC
rnacentral:rRNA from 1 species